rnacentral:rRNA from 1 species
CGAACUGUGCGAACGUUAUUCGGAAUCACUGGGCUUACAGGGUGCGUAGGCGGCUCAACAAGUCAGGUGUGAAAGCCCCCGGCUCAACCGGGGAACUGCGCUUGAAACUGUUAGGCUCGAGUCAGCUAGAGGUACACGGAACUUCCAGUGGAGCGGUGAAAUGUGUUGAUAUUGGAAGGAACACCGGAGGCGAAAGCGGUGUACUGGGGCUGGUCUGACGCUGAGGCACGAAAGCCAGGGGAGCGAACGGGAUUAGAUACCCCGGUAGUCCUGGCCGUAAACGAUGAGUGCUGGACGGGAGGAGGUUCGCCUUCUCCGGUCGGAGCGAAAGCGGGAAGCACUCCGCCUGGGGAGUAUGGUCGCAAGGCUG